CAGGUCACUCCUACGGGAGGCAGCAGUGGGGAAUCUUGCACAAUGGGGGAAACCCUGAUGCAGCGACGCCGCGUGAGCGAUGAAGCCCUUCGGGGUGUAAAGCUCUUUCGUCAGGGAAGAUAAUGACGGUACCUGGAGAAGCAGCUGCGGCUAACUACGUGCCAGCAGCCGCGGUAAUACGUAGGCAGCAAGCGUUGUUCGGAGUUACUGGGCGUAAAGGGUGUGUAGGCGGUUCUUUAAGUUUGGUGUGAAAUCUCCCGGCUCAACCGGGAGGGUGCGCCGAAUACUGAGGGACUAGAGUGCGGGAGAGGAAAGUGGAAUUCCUGGUGUAGCGGUGAAAUGCGUAGAUAUCAGGAGGAACACCGGUGGUGUAGACGGCUUUCUGGACCGUAACUGACGCUGAGACACGAAAGCGUGGGUAGCAAACAGGAUUAGAUACCCUGGUAGUCCACGCCCUAAACGAUGCAUAUUUGGUGUGGGUCAUUCAGUUGAUCCGUGCCGGAGCUAACGCGUUAAAUAUGCCGCCUGGGGAGUACAGUCGCAAGGCUGAAACUCAAAGGAAUUGACG
rnacentral:rRNA from 1 species